rfam:Capsella rubella cultivar Monte Gargano unplaced genomic scaffold scaffold_6, whole genome shotgun sequence.
UAGGCAACUUUUUGCCGAGUGAAUCGAACAUCGAUCUCUCUCUUUUUCCCAGUUGCCUAAAUCAUGUAAUGGCUUCAUUAGUGAGGAACUAUUUUGAUCGGUUACUUAAUCCGUUAUGUAACUGAUCUUUUCCUCUUUGCUGCCACAUUA